rnacentral:rRNA from 1 species
GAUGAACGCUGGCGGCGUGCCUAAUAUAUGCAAGUCGAGCGAACGGACGAGAAGCUUGCUUCUCUGAUGUUAGCGGCGGACGGGUGAGUAACACGUGGAUAACCUACCUAUAAGACUGGGAUAACUUCGGGAAACCGGAGCUAAUACCGGAUAAUAUUUUGAACCGCAUGGUUCAAAAGUGAAAGACGGUCUUGCUGUCACUUAUAGAUGGAUCCGCGCUGCAUUAGCUAGUUGGUAAGGUAACGGCUUACCAAGGCAACGAUGCAUAGCCGACCUGAGAGGGUGAUCGGCCACACUGGAACUGAGACACGGUCCAGACUCCUACGGGAGGCAGCUGUAGGGAAUCUUCCGCAAUGGGCGAAAGCCUGACGGAGCAACGCCGCGUGAGUGAUGAAGGUCUUCGGAUCGUAAAACUCUGUUAUUAGGGAAGAACAUAUGUGUAAGUAACUGUGCACAUCUUGACGGUACCUAAUCAGAAAGCCACGGCUAACUACGUG